CUUGUUUUAUUUUUCUCUCAUGCACUUACUAUAUCUUAAAUGCUUAUUUAUUCAUGUACUUGUUUAAACUACUUUUGAUUUUCUGACUUCUUAUCAUUGGUCUGAUUCCUCCACCGUAACAGAACUUCCAUGAGGGCGGGGAUUUUUCGCUUCCCCCGCAACUGCCUGCGUUUUCGUAGCCCUAGAGCUUCCAACGUACAGUGCGGAAAAGCAACAUAACACACUAAGAACCGUGCGGAAAAGGAGAGAAAACCAGACCGCAGGGGCAUUUCACAGCUAACCACAGCGGUCCGAGGCGAACGCAGGGUGGAAGAACCCGAGCGAGGCCCGGCAGGGGCGGGGUGAGCCUUGGCCCCGCUCCCGUGCAGGUGUCGCGGGUAAGCUGCCGCGGUUACUGUGAAGCAGGGCCAAGGCCAGCCCUCCGCCUCGAGGCCACUGGUGCUUGGGGGUGGGAAAAGAGUGACCGGGGGCAACUGAGCAAAACAUAGAACAGAAACUCCCUCUCGAAUAGAGACCCACGCACGGAAGGAUGAUACACUGUGAUUCCCCGACGUGGGCCUGCAGCAAGAGACGGGUGCUAACAGCGUCCGAGCCAAUCCGUGCUUAUCACACAUGCAGUCAAUGAACACCUCACAAAUGCAAGGUUCACAUGCAGUCUUCGAUGAACACAUCGAUCGCAUCCAGCAGUAUGUCUGUAUUGGAAAAGUCCUUCCAUAGCACCCAGUAAUGAAAAGGAAUGUGGCGGGGAGCAGUACUGGACAGUAAAACUAAAAACACCAGGAAGAUCACAGUGAGAUCAGCAGAGCCCUAGAAUGGCAAAUCCAUGACAAAGAAAAUUUCUGAUGAAUAAAAACGUGCCUGGGUCCAGGCCAGCAAUUGGCUUCUUUCAGACACUAUUGACUG
rnacentral:lncRNA from 1 species